rnacentral:rRNA from 1 species
UAGGGAAUCUUCCGCAAUGGGCGAAAGCCUGACGGAGCAACGCCGCGUGAGUGAUGAAGUUCUUCGGAUCGUAAAACUCUGUUAUGAGGGAAGAACAAAUGUGUAAGUAACUAUGCACGUCUUGACGGUACUUAAUCAGAAAGCCACGGCUAACUACGUGCCAGCAGCCGCGGUAAUACGUAGGUGGCAAGCGUUAUCCGGAAUUAUUGGGCGUAAAGCGCGCGUAGGCGGUUUUUUAAGUCUGAUGUGAAAGCCCACGGCUCAACCGUGGAGGGUCAUUGGAAACUGGAAAACUUGAGUGCAGAAGAGGAAAGUGGAAUUCCAUGUGUAGCGGUGACAUGCGCAGAGAUAUGGAGGAACACCAGUGGCGAAGGCGGAUUUCUGGUCUGUAACUGACGCUGAUGUGCGAAAGCGUGGGGAGCAAACAGG